rnacentral:sRNA from 1 species
AAUAACUUUUAUUUUCAGCAAGUGUCGAUUGACAAAACAUGGUCUGUCAAAACCUCUAGGAAGUAUGUUGUUGGAUAUAGUAUGAUGUUGGACAAAGUAGGCUGUUGGAUAAAGUUUAUAUGAUAUGAUCUAGUUUCACGGUUCCACUAGUUGGAAUGUGGUUAUGAUAUGCUAAUUACUUGAUUUUCACAACUGUUGGCUCAAGAAAAGCACUUUCAGGGUUUGGCCGAGUUAUAACAAAGUGAUGGCUGAGUUAUGCAUGUGAUGUGGCUGAGU